UAAAGAAUUUCGGUUAUCGAUGGGGAUGCGUUCCAUUAGUUAGUUGGCGGGGUAACGGCCCACCAAGACGACGAUGGAUAGGGGUUCUGAGAGGAAGGUCCCCCACAUUGGAACUGAGACACGGUCCAAACUCCUACGGGAGGCAGCAGUGAGGAAUAUUGGUCAAUGGACGAGAGUCUGAACCAGCCAAGUAGCGUGAAGGAUGACUGCCCUAUGGGUUGUAAACUUCUUUUAUAUGGGAAUAAAACAGGGUAUGCAUACCCUCUUGUAUGUACCAUAUGAAUAAGGAUCGGCUAACUCCGUGCCAGCAGCCGCGGUAAUACGGAGGAUCCGAGCGUUAUCCGGAUUUAUUGGGUUUAAAGGGAGCGUAGGUGGAUUGUUAAGUCAGUUGUGAAAGUUUGCGGCUCAACCGUAAAAUUGCAGUUGAAACUGGCAGUCUUGAGUACAGUAGAGGUGGGCGGAAUUCGUGGUGUAGUGGUGAAAUGCUUAGAUAUCACGAAGAACUCCGAUUGCGAAGGCAGCUCACUGGACUGCAACUGACACUGAUGCUCGAAAGUGUGGGUAUCAAACAGGAUUAGAUACCCUGGUAGUCCACACAGUAAACGAUGAAUACUCGCUGUUUGCGAUAUACAGUAA
rnacentral:rRNA from 1 species